GAGGCUGUGGCUCAGUGGUAGGGCGCUUGCCUAGCAUGCAUGAGGCACUGGGUUCAAUCCUCAGCACCACA
rnacentral:tRNA from 1 species